rnacentral:rRNA from 1 species
AAUCAACGCGGCGGCGUGCUAACACAUGCAAGUCGAACGAGAAAGUGGAGCAAUCCAUGAGUAAAGUGGCGACCGGGUGAGUAACACGUGACUAACCUACCUUCGAGUGGGGGAUAACCUCGGGAAACCGGGGCUAAUACCGCAUAACAUCUUUGAAGUGGAAAUUUCGGAGAUCAAAGGAGCAAUUCGCUGGAAGAGGGGGUCGCGGCUGAUUAGCUAGUUGGCGGGGUAACGGCCCACCAAGGCUUAGAUCGGUAGCCGGCCUGAGAGGGCGCACGGCCACACUGGAACUGAAACACGGUCCAGACUCCUACGGGAGGCAGCAGUGGGGAAUUUUGCGCAAUGGGGGAAACCCUGACGCAGCAACGCCGCGUGGAGGAUGAAGUCCCUUGGGACGUAAACUCCUUUCGACCCGGACGAUAAUGACGGUACGGGUGGAAGAAGCCCCGGCUAACUUCGUGCCAGCAGCCGCGGUAAUACGAGGGGGGCAAGCGUUGUUCGGAAUUAUUGGGCGUAAAGGGCGCGUAGGCGGUGCGGUAAGUCACCUGUGAAACCUCUAGGCUUAACCUAGAGCCUGCAGGCGAAACUGCCG